CUCAGUAUAGUUUUGAACAGCCCAUUGCACCAUUUGAUUUUCCCGGAGGCUGGUGCAUGGUAGGGGAUGUGAUAUACCCACUCAAUGCCAUGCUCUUUGGCCCAAGUGUCUGUGAGGUU